GCCGCAUUAGCUCAUUUAGUAGAGCUACGGUCCUGUAAACCGUGGGUAAGGGGUGCAAUACCUCUAUGCGGCU
rnacentral:tRNA from 1 species